GGCAGUGUGGUGCAGGGGUUAGAGUGCUGGAGUAGGACCCGGGAGACCAGGGUUCAAAUCCCUACUUGGGGGCCA